AUUGAACGCUGGCGGCAUGCUUUACACAUGCAAGUCGAACGGCAGCGCGGGCUUCGGCCUGGCGGCGAGUGGCGAACGGGUGAGUAAUGCAUCGGAACGUGCCCAGUAGUGGGGGAUAGCCCGGCGAAAGCCGGAUUAAUACCGCAUACGACCUGAGGGUGAAAUCGGGGGACCGAAAGGCCUCGCGCUAUUGGAGCGGCCGAUGUCGGAUUAGCUAGUUGGUGGGGUAAAGGCUUACCAAGGCGACGAUCCGUAGCUGGUCUGAGAGGACGACCAGCCACACUGGGACUGAGACACGGCCCAGACUCCUACGGGAGGCAGCAGUGGGGAAUUUUGGACAAUGGGGGCAACCCUGAUCCAGCCAUGCCGCGUGCGGGAAGAAGGCCUUCGGGUUGUAAACCGCUUUUGUUCGGGAAGAAAUCCUCUGGGCUAAUACCCCGGGGGGAUGACGGUACCGGAAGAAUAAGCACCGGCUAACUACGUG
rnacentral:rRNA from 1 species